GACGAACGCUGGCGGCGUGCUUAACACAUGCAAGUCGAACGAAGUGGCGAACGGGUGAGUAAUACGUGAGUAACCUGCCCUCCUUUUUGGGAUAAGCCUUGGAAGCGGGGUCUAAUACCGAAUAAAGGGGGAUGGGCUGGCGGCCUAUCAGCUUGGUGGUGGGGUGAUGGCCUACCAAGGCGGUGACGGGUAGCCGGCCUAAGAGGGUGACCGGACACAUUAGGACUAAGAUACGGACCAGACGCCUACGGGAAGCAGCCGUGGGGGAUAUUGCACAAUGGGCGAAAGCCUGAUGCAGCGACGCCGCGAGGGUGAUGAAGGCUUGCGGGUUGUAAACCUCUUUCGAUAGCGAACGGGUAGGUGGAGAAGAAGCACCGGCUAACUACGUGCCAGCAGCCGCGGUAAUUC
rnacentral:rRNA from 1 species